AUGGAAGUUCCAGUAAUAGUAAUAUUUUUAAUAAUAAUGAAGGGGAAGGGUUGUUACAAAAGGCAAUUUCUUUAUCAAAACUUGGAGCAGAGAAUAUUCAAAAAGGAAUUAAAAAAACAUUUGAAAAAAACUAAUUUAAAUACAUCCCCUUCAGUUAUAUCUAAUUCAACUGCAGCAGAUAGUGGAUCUAUGUUUUCUAAUUUCCCAUUAUUCAAUUUACAAAAUGCAGAGCAGCAAACAAAUUCUUUCGUUACUCUUACAACAUUAUUGUCAUAUAAAACUUCCCUUUAUUUUGUCUUUUUUUUGGAAUUAGUAUGUGUUUUUUACUUUUAUCAUUUUUUUACAUUACCUAUGAUUGUUAUAUCUCCUAGGCAGUUUGGUUCUUUCUUUACUUUAUCAUCAAUUUGUUUUGUCAUAUCAUUAGCCUUUUUGAAAGGAACUUCUAAUUUGUAUUACCACUUAACAGAAAAAAAACGCCUACCAUUCACAACUGCAUAUAUUUUAUCUUUGAUUUUUACUUUAUACUUUUCCGUUAUUAAUCCUAUGUAUUUAUUGGCUUUGAUUACCACAAUUGUCCAAGUUCUCGCACUUAUAUCAUUUAUUGCUUCUUAUAUACCAGGAGGAGCGAAUGCAAUAAAACUUUUAAUAACAACAAUGAUCACAUAUUUAAGGAAUUUAUUCCAGAGAAACAAUUCAUCCGAUUUACCGUUUUAAUUUAAUUUAUUCAUUUAAUUUUUUUUUUUUUUUUUCUUUUUUACACAUUUCUAAAUUCAUUUUCUACAUAUUUAAUUUUUUUAAUAUAUCCCAAGGUUUCAUAAACAUUUAUUUUUAAAUUAAUAAACUUUUGUUGAAAAGAGUAACA
ensembl:lncRNA